rnacentral:rRNA from 1 species
AUUGAACGCUGGCGGCAUGCCUUACACAUGCAAGUCGAACGGCAGCACGGGAGCUUGCUCCUGGUGGCGAGUGGCGAACGGGUGAGUAAUACAUCGGAACGUACCCAGUAGUGGGGGAUAACGCACCGAAAGGUGCGCUAAUACCGCAUACGACCUACGGGUGAAAGCGGGGGACCGUAAGGCCUCGCGCUAUUGGAGCGGGCGAUGUCUGAUUAGCUAGUUGGCGGGGUAAUAGCCCACCAAGGCGACGAUCAGUAGCUGGUCUGAGAGGACGAUCAGCCACACUGGGACUGAGAAACGGCCCAGACUUCUACGGGAGGCAGCAGUGGGGAAUUUUGGACAAUGGGGGCAACCCUGAUCCAGCAAUGCCGCGUGUGCGAAGAAGGCCUUCGGGUUGUAAAGCACUUUUGUCAGGGAAGAAAUCUUUCAGGCUAAUACCCUUGGAAGGAUGACGGUACCUGAAGAAUAAGCACCGGCUAACUACGUGCCAGCCGCCGCCGUAA